ncrna:unclassified sequences DTF3800-VII RNA
AGUGAGUGAGUAGUUCGCUGUAUCACUGAAGGGUGUGAGUAGUUCACACCAGCAAGCUUGCCUUGUGGGUUCCUUCAGUCAGGGGAAAGCUCACUUUUUU